rnacentral:sRNA from 1 species
UGUGUUUGUUUGUGAUGACGCGUAGCUGGACACUGAUCGCUAGAUCGCUAAUUAGUGUCUGCAGACCUGCUUAGUGACAUGCGUCACACUAUUAAUCUACUCCCAGUAACACAACAUGUUGGUAGACGUGUAAGAGCGCAUUUCAGUUAGCGGUCUUUUGAUGCACAGCAGCGGGUCAGACGCAUAAUUAUAUGUAAACAAAGGUGAUGCCGUUGGGGACUCCGCGCAGAGUUGUCGGGUCCAAGCCUUUGAUUUCACACUGAGACCAGCAACGGAUUUCCAAGUUCAAUGUUUUAAAAAUUUUUUUUUAAAAAAGUCAUCGGUAUUUUCAUUUCAAUUUAGCCACAAUUCUUGAGUUGACUACAGUAGACGUUCUAUUG